rnacentral:rRNA from 1 species
UACGGAGGAUGCGAGCGUUAUCCGGAUUUAUUGGGUUUAAAGGGAGCGUAGGUGGACUGGUAAGUCAGUUGUGAAAGUUUGCGGCUCAACCGUAAAAUUGCAGUUGAUACUGUCAGUCUUGAGUACAGUAGAGGUGGGCGGAAUUCGUGGUGUAGCGGUGAAAUGCUUAGAUAUCACGAAGAACUCCGAUUGCGAAGGCAGCUCACUAGACUGCAACUGACACUGAGGCUCGAAAGUGUGGGUAUCAAACAGG